rnacentral:lncRNA from 1 species
GGAGAAUGGAAGAUAAAGUUGGAGACACUUGUAACAAAACUUAAAGAAGGUGUCCCCAGCCUGUAAGAGACUUUCCAGAAAUUGCAAGUCUUGCCUUUAAUGCGGAAGACUCAAAGUUGUGCUUGAGGGAGAAUUUCUCUGCCUGUCCUUGGACAUCUGUCUGUAGAUACAGCUGUGGGCAAGACUCCUUCAACGACUGAUUCAAUUGGAGAGGUAGACCUACCUCAAGCCUUGUUUGGGGAUGCUCCUGCUCUUUGCCAUGAUGAGGCACUGGGUAGCACUGUUACAUCCAUUGAUGAGAGAUCGUUACCUGUAGGAGAAGGCUGCUGUCUGUCUUGUCUUUAUGAAGGCAUCUGUGGUGGCCUGGCUUAAUGGAGCCAUUUUUUGAAAACUGCAGGCUCUUAUAAUCCAAAAAUGGAGUUGCAGGCAAGUUGCAAAGAUGAAUCUUUGUAGAAACAAAUAUUCCUCUGUGACUUGUACACUGGGAUUUUCAUAUAGCAUCAUGGGGAGAUCCUGUGAGCCCUGG